CCUGGCUCAGGACGAACGCUGGCGGCGCGCCUAACACAUGCAAGUCGAACGAGCGAGAGAGAGCUUGCUUUCUCGAGCGAGUGGCGAACGGGUGAGUAACGCGUGAGGAACCUGCCUCAAAGAGGGGGACAACAGUUGGAAACGACUGCUAAUACCGCAUAAGCCCACGGCUCGGCAUCGAGCAGAGGGAAAAGGAGCAAUCCGCUUUGAGAUGGCCUCGCGUCCGAUUAGCUAGUUGGUGAGGUAACGGCCCACCAAGGCGACGAUCGGUAGCCGGACUGAGAGGUUGAACGGCCACAUUGGGACUGAGACACGGCCCAGACUCCUACGGGAGGCAGCAGUGGGGAAUAUUGCACAAUGGGGGAAACCCUGAUGCAGCGACGCCGCGUGGAGGAAGAAGGUCUUCGGAUUGUAAACUCCUGUUGUUGAGGAAGAUAAUGACGGUACUCAACAAGGAAGUGACGGCUAACUACGUGCCAGCAGCCGCGGUAAAACGUAGGUCACAAGCGUUGUCCGGAAUUACUGGGUGUAAAGGGAGCGCAGGCGGGAAGACAAGUUGGAAGUGAAAUCCAUGGGCUCAACCCAUGAACUGCUUUCAAAACUGUUUUUCUUGAGUAGUGCAGAGGUAGGCGGAAUUCCCGGUGUAGCGGUGGAAUGCGUAGAUAUCGGGAGGAACACCAGUGGCGAAGGCGGCCUACUGGGCACCAACUGACGCUGAGGCUCGAAAGUGUGGGUAGCAAACAGGAUUAGAUACCCUGGUAGUCCACACUGUAAACGAUGAUUACUAGGUGUUGGAGGAUUGACCCCUUCAGUGCCGCAGUUAACACAAUAAGUAAUCCACCUGGGGAGUACGACCGCAAGGUUGAAACUCAAAGGAAUUGACGGGGGCCCGCACAAGCAGUGGAGUAUGUGGUUUAAUUCGACGCAACGCGAAGAACCUUACCAAGUCUUGACAUCCUGCGACGGUUCUGGAAACAGUACUUUCCUUCGGGACGCAGAGACAGGUGGUGCAUGGUUGUCGUCAGCUCGUGUCGUGAGAUGUUGGGUUAAGUCCCGCAACGAGCGCAACCCUUAUGGUCAGUUACUACGCAAGAGGACUCUGGCCAGACUGCCGUUGACAAAACGGAGGAAGGUGGGGAUGACGUCAAAUCAUCAUGCCCUUUAUGACUUGGGCUACACACGUACUACAAUGGCGUUAAACAAAGAGAAGCAAGACCGCGAGGUGGAGCAAAACUCAGAAACAACGUCCCAGUUCGGACUGCAGGCUGCAACUCGCCUGCACGAAGUCGGAAUUGCUAGUAAUCGCAGAUCAGCAUGCUGCGGUGAAUACGUUCCCGGGCCUUGUACACACCGC
rnacentral:rRNA from 1 species